UACGUAGGGUCCGAGCGUUGUCCGGAAUUAUUGGGCGUAAAGAGCUCGUAGGCGGUUUUGUCGCGUCUGCUGUGAAAAUCCCCGAGGCUCAAACCCUCGGGGCCUGCAGUGGGGUACGGGGGCAGACUGGAGUGCGGGUAGGGGGGAGAAAUGGAAAUUCCUGGUGUAGCGGUGGAAUGCGCAGAUAUCAGGAGGAACACCGAUGGCGAAGGCAGUUCUCUGGGGACGUAAACUGACGCUGAGGAGCGAAAAGCGUGGGGGGGAGCGAAACAGG
rnacentral:rRNA from 1 species